UAACACCCUCCCCAUCUUGAUGUUCAUGC
rnacentral:piRNA from 1 species